rnacentral:tRNA from 1 species
GGGCUGGUAGAUCAGGGGUAUGAUCGUCGGCUUCGCAAGCCGAAAGUCGCGGGUUCAAAUCCCGCCCAGUCUA